UACGUAGGUGGCAAGCGUUGUUCGGAUUCACUGGGCGUAAAGGGUGCGUAGGUGGCCGGGUAAGUCUGACGUGAAAUCUCCGAGCCUAACUCGGAAACUGCAUCGGAUACUAUCCGGCUUGAGGGUUGGAGGGGGGACUGGAAUACUUGGUGUAGCAGUGAAAUGCGUAGAUAUCAAGUGGAACACCAGUGGCGAAGGCGGGUCUCUGGGCCGAUACUGACGCUGAGGAGCGAAAGCGUGGGGAGCGAACAGG
rnacentral:rRNA from 1 species